CACAGAUCGUUUUUAAAACGUUUUAAAAACGUUAAAAAACGUUUUCAUAAGUUUUUUAAACGUUUUAAAAACGUUUUGUGCUUACUGGGAAGCAAGUUCCAUAAUUUUGGGCCUCGGCAAAAUAAUGAAAAAUCAGCUUGUUUUAAUAAAGUUUUUGAUAUAACAAAGUUAUUUAUUAAGUAUUUAGUUAGUUGUUUGUGGUUUAAAAAAAAACAAUAAGCAAUUCGAUUUCUCUCAGUAAUGGUCUGGCACUAGAGUAUUUAUUUGCAUGUAAAAUCAAACAACUUGCUCGUUCAAAACUUCUUGAUUAACAGUAUUAAACAAUAGGCUAAUGUUUGUUUAGAUAAAGAAUACUUGGGUAUCAUCAGCAAAAAGAACAAAGUUAAGUAUCUUGGAAGAUAAGUGGACAUUAUUAAUAUAAACAAAAAAUAACAAUGUACCAUGACCAAGACAAAUGGACCAAUUGGUUCUUGUGGGACCCGACAAUAUUCAGUUUACAAAGAAGAAUCUCGAGAUCAAACGUGUCAGAAACUAAUAAAUAAAAAAUUAUAAAAGAAAUAACUUUCUAUUAAAUUUUUAUUGCAGAUCUCUGUUAAUUUAAAAACUACAUUACAACUACAAAUACAAUUUAUAGUAUAAAGUAUUUAAUAAGUUCAUAUUGCAUACAAAAUUUAUAUUGAAAAAUAAAGAAACUUUUAGUAUGAAGAAGGUCGAAUUUAUUAAUUAUUUCAAUUUUAAGUUAGAUAUGAGCUCACUAAAUAAACUUUUUGAAGGAAAAAUAUAUUGCCUAUUUGAAAACCGUUUAUAGUCCAUAUUUGUUGAUUAAAUUUAUUAAUCUAAGAUAAAAGUAUAUAGCUUUAUAGUUGAACUAUAAGUUAAUAUUUGAUAACUAUAACUAAACAGCUAUAGUUAUCGAAUAGCAUAAAAAUUGACAACUUAAACUGUGAUUUUUUUUUAACCAUUUUGAAAAUAUUUAUAUUCACGCAUGAGUAAAAAUAAAACACGGAGAAGAGAAUAAACCUCCUUUAGAUGAGGACGUCUAAUGGACGUCCGAGGACGUAUUAUUUAAAAUUUGGUCGUUUUUGGACGUCCAUUAGACGACCAAAGACGUAACAUUUUGGACUUAGACGAAUGGAUCUAAACGGUUCGUCCUAUAGACUUCCAGGGACGUCCUGAGCCGAUUGGGUAUUUAUUAUCAAGGCUGUCAACAAAAGCAAUACGUUGCCAAAAUUUCUAUCCUUUUGCAGUGAAAAAUCUUGUUUCUUUUUAAAAUGCUAGUCCACGGAGACUGCUAUCAAUCGGAUCAAAUUAAUCUGGUAUCAGCAAAUCAAAUUAGCAGAUGCCCAAAAUGAUGUCAAUGGUUUGUUCAAAUAUUUAAUAGAAGAGCUUGACCGUUUGCGAGAAUUAGUAUAGAUUAAAAAAAGAUCUUAGCAAAAUCUUUGAUUGGUUUAGAUUGCGAUUUAGUAACCACCUGUUCACAAGCAACGGAUGCUGGUUGUAUUAUUCAGAUUUUAGAUCCUAAUUUUGAAAUUUACGUUGAAAUUAAACUAUUUUGUAAUAGUUAGAAUAUAGUUAUAAAAAGCUUUCCUUUACA